GAAUGAAUUAUUAACAUCCUUCCCUACUGUUCCUGGUAAUGUAUGCAAUGCUUGAAAAGGCUUUUCUUUAAGCUAAAAGAAGCACAGAUAUUAGCGGUUAUUCAAAACAGCCUGGCAGAUGCUGUUUUAAUAUUGCUUCACCAGGGCUUGAUGGGAAUGAACUCUGGAUCUUUCUGGCUGAACAGAAGAAAGGCAAUAGUCCAGGAGUAGAAACAGCAGCUUUACAACAGCAACUAAACAGCUUGUCCCAGCAGCCAUGGGUAAUUUGUUGGAGAGGAAGAAGAGGAGGAAGACUACUGAGUUUUCAACCAGAAAGGCUUGCCUACUGCUGUCUAAACUUUUUUGGAUAACCAAGGCAGUUAACUUGUCAGCUGUUACCUGCAGAUCAUUUUGUGGCCAAAGAGAUGAUGACUGAGACCACCAGCACCUCAGCUGCAGACCUGGAUCCUCCACAAGUACUUUUAGUCUGAGGUUGGAGCUACUCUUCUUGUUUAUACACUACAGCAAGUGAUCCACGUUUAGCUUAAAGAACAGCUGAAGCCAGGGCCCCCAUGUCCACAGGUAUACCAUUUUAUUUGGGAAAAAAAAGAUAAAAAAGAAACGGAAUUCAUGACUGUCAACUGUAAUUGCAUAGGUAAUACAAAAAGAACUUCUGGAUUCCUGGAGUAAAGGCUCAAUCUGUAAUGAAUCCAAGAGCACUAUUAGAUGAAAUGCAAGAAUCCUUACCUGCUAGGCUGCUGAAGCCCAUCCAUUUGAAGGAGAUAAUUAUAAUUCCAAGCUUGUAUGGGAUAAUGCAUAUCUGCAAUCAACUCACGUACAAGGAAGAAAACUCAGACUGUACCCACCAGAAAGAUUCUCCUAUAAUUACCCAACCUUUUCUGGUGAAGCGCCUGGGAUGUGCACCAUCACACUGCAUUUUGCAAGUGGUUUAAUUUGCUCACUGUAUUUCCUGUUCUCUUCUGAGGAAUCCAGGGAGCUCCCGGGCUGGAAAUGUGCGGCAGCAAGGCAGGCAGACCUUGUUUGGGGAGCGCUGGACUGUAUGGCAGAAGGGAUGAAGUGAACUCUCUGAUCCUUUCCAAACCUGUUUCUUAGGACUGUGAUAAGUGAUUGAAAUGUGGACCUCGUGUAAUGCACACUUUAAGCACAAAUGGAAACAGUGAGUGAGGAAACAAAAAAGAUUUAUUCUACUUUUCAUACUGGAAAUGACUUAGCCUUGUAUAUUUUCUUCCUCUUUUUUUCUUCUUUUUUUUUUCCCAGCAUAGUACCUCAUUAACAAAGUUUCAAUGAAUUCAAAGCAAAGGAAAAGAGGAACAGUUUGCUCUCUUGCAGCAGUUACUAAACGUGUCCCCUAUUUACUUUUUUCCCCACAUUUCCUUUAGAUUAACAAAGAGCUGUAAAUAAACACCCUUACAAGCUAAACA
rnacentral:lncRNA from 1 species